AAGAGACAGCAGCCGCCACGGGAAUACAGAGGGUGCGAGCGUUAAUCGGAUUUACUGGGCGUAAAGCGUGCGUAGGCGGCUUCUUAAGUCGGAUGUGAAAUCCCUGAGCUUAACUUAGGAAUUGCAUUCGAUACUGGGAAGCUAGAGUAUGGGAGAGGAUGGUAGAAUUCCAGGUGUAGCGGUGAAAUGCGUAGAGAUCUGGAGGAAUACCGAUGGCGAAGGCAGCCAUCUGGCCUAAUACUGACGCUGAGGUACGAAAGCAUGGGGAGCAAACAGGAUUAGAGACCCCGGUAGUCCCUGUCUCUUAUAC
rnacentral:rRNA from 1 species